CUCUCUCUCUCUCUCUCUCUCUCUCAAUAAUAAACCUUAAAAAUUAAAAAAGAAAGAAAGAAAAACCUGGAUAUACUCACAAUAUAAUGGUUAGUAGUAAUGGAGAGGGAAUGGGAGUAUGUACAAGUAAAUGGGAGGGAAACUCCAGCAUGUGAAAUUCUUCCCAUGGUUUGAAAAAUUAAAAAUACUACAUAUUUCAUCUUCGUAGGGGAAAGACCAGAAAGAACACACCCAAACAGCCACAGUGGUGGCUUCUCGAUGCUGGGAUUACAAGUGCUUUUUAUCCUCUUGACUCUUUUUUAUAUUUCCAAAGUUUGAAUCAUAAACUACUAAAAACCCAGAAAGCCAAACACUAUGGUAAAUUAAGGGAAAUGUGAUCUUUAAAUCCGAUAUCAGUAUUGAAUAAUAAAAGGCACAGUACUGAACCACACCUGUAGUGUGCUACUGUUUGUGUCAUAAAGGGAGCAAACAGUAUAUAUUAUUUCUGGUAAAAUAUCUCUGGAAAAAUAAACCAGAAACCAAUCACAGGGGGCUGACCAUGGGAAAAGGAACUAGCCUGUGGGGGACAGGGGUGGGACGGAGACUUUUCCUAUAAACCUUUUUAUACUUUAGUACCUAUAUAAAAAGCUUGCAAAAUACAGUGUACAUUUUUUCCAGUCUUUGAGAUGCCAAGAGUUUCUGAAAAUGGUCAGAAAGCGUCUCAAUGUAAGCGAACUGUGUGUUCCCCUUUUGAAACCUGCUCAGUAUGAUCUACAGUAAGUAGAGCAUCUGUAAGAUACCAAGUAUCACCAUCCAUCAUACUGUGGUGCUAUUUAGCUAAAGGCCCACAUGUCAAAUGCAUAUCCUUAUUCUGAGCCAAAAGAAAAGAAAAACCAGUUUUAAUAGCCCAUUGGGUUUCCCUUUUCACCUUGGCUUGUAAGAAGACUUAACGCUUUAUUUUGUCUUUAACCAGAUUUUCUAAGUGAAGGAAAUAGACUCUUCCCUAUACCCACCCCAUUUAUUCACUCCCAUCUUUCAAAUCUUGUUCUGAUCGUUUUCCACGUACUUAGAGUUGGCCUCUACCUCUCUGCAGUUUCAGAACCUCUUUGGAAGUGAAUGGAUAUGUAUUAAUCCGUUGCUGUGUAACAAGUCCUUCCAAAAUGCAGAGGCUUGAAACAGCAGUUUGCCUUUAUUGUAUCUCUUGGUUCCUUUGGGUCAGAAAUGCAGGAGCAUCCUGGCUUGGGGACCUUUCCAGAGGUUGCAGUUAAGAUGCCAGCCAGAGCUGCGGUCAUCUGAGGGCUUGACUGGGGCUGGAGGGUCUACUGCCAGGAUAUUGGCAAGCUGGCGUUUGCUGUUGGCGGGACACCUUCCGUCCUCCCUCCGUGCGCUGCUUGCUUGUCCUCGUGACAGGGUGGCCCAAAGAGAGACAACCCAAAAGAGGACAAGGCGGAAACUGCAAUGCCUUUUAUGACCUGGCCUCGGAAGUCACACACCUUCACUUCGGCUUUGCCCUCUUCGUCAAAAGCAAGUCACUGGGUCCAGCCAGUCUUUGAGGGGAGGGAUGUUAGUUGCCACCUUCUGAAGGAGGGAGCGUCAAAGAAUUUGCAGUCAUAUUUAAAAACAAACACAGGGUGCGGCGCCUGGGUGGCUCAGUCGUUGAGCACGUGACUCUUGAUUUCGGCUCAGGCGGUGGGAUCCAGCCCCACAGCGGGUUCUGCGCUGACAGUGCGGAGCCUGCUUGGGAUUCUCUCUCUCCCUCUCUCUCUCUCUCUCUGCCCCUCCCCUGCUUGCACUCCCUCUCUUGAAAUAAAUGCACAGAUUUGAAAAACAAACACAUGGAAUAAUAAUCAGAAUUAGGGCACCUGGGUGGCUCAGCCAGUUGAGCGUGUGACUCUUGAUUUUGGCUCAGGGCUUGAACUCACCAUGAACUCAUGGUCAUGAUCUCACGGUUGGUGAGUUCAAGCCCCAUGUCGGGGGAAUCCCGCUUGAGAUUCUCUGUCUCCCUGUCUCUGUCUCUGUCAAAAAAUAAACAUUAAAAAAAGAAUCAACUAAUAUCAAAUUAGUCAAAUGAGAAGGUAAAGACCAUGAGAAAUAAAAGAAAGGAGGUUUUUGGACAGAGGAAACACCCACGGAGCACACCUACUGUCCUACGCUCUGUACUCCGGACUUAGCAUACAUUAUUGUGUUUAAUUUCAACACUUUUGUUAAUUUUUGAGAGAGAGUGCACAAGCAGGGGAGAGGCGGGGAGAGGCAGAGAGAGGGAGAGGGACAGAGGAUCUGAAGCGGGCUCCGUGCAGACAGCAGAGAACCCGCUGUGGGGCCCAAACUCACGAACCAUGAGAUCAUGACCUGAGCCGAAGCCGGACGCUCACCCAACUGAGCCACCCAGGCACCCUUUGUGUUUCAUUUCGUAAAAACAUAUUCUCAGUUUUACAGGUGAGGAAAGUGAGAACUCUAAGGCCUCUAACUUGUCCAAGGUCACAUAGUGUCAGAGGAGCACGUGAAGCACCUGUCAGCCUGAGAUCACACCUGUGCCAUCACUCUACCUCAGUGGGAAAAGGAACACUUUCUUGAUUAUUUGCCACCUCGACUUACCUAAACCGUGACCAUUUUGCCACCGGGGAGAAAUAUGAUCAAUACUCCCGGUUGAAUGAAUUCUGACAGAGAUGUUUAACUCAUUUCUAAAGCCUCUGGAAUCAAACAGGUGUCAACUCUCCUUCGGAAGCCCCUCCCCUGCCUUUUGCCAUUGCCAGUGUUUGCCCAGUGCAGGUAGCGCCAUGCCUCUGCUCACCCCUGACUUUGAAAGCCAUCCAACUUCUCUUCCCACUAUAGCUGGCUGUGACACGGAGGCCAGUGAGGUCAAUGGAGUAGGGUGACACCGAGCACAGGGUGUGUGAGGACGAGGCCCGCCCUCUCAUGGGACUGAGCCAAGUCCAAUAGGGUGGAGAUUGGACAGCCCAUCUGCCCUGGUGCCAUGCUGGACUGCAAGGGCUUGAUAAGGCCAGGGAACCAUCCGCCCAACUUAGCGCCCUCUUCCAAAUAUAGAUUUCUCCCAGCAAUGCCCUCCUAGCCGUUGACCGUCACAUGGGUACCUUCCUCCAAAGGUAGCUGCUGGUCUCUGCCACUGUGAGAUGGGACCCGAUCCAGGGCAGGACCAGCUCUUUGGGGUGCCAGGUUUUCAGGCCAUGGCUGUGGAGAAAGCACGGUGACUUCUUACCUCCCCUGCCCACACUUCCCUUCUCAGCAAUGGCCUCUCCAUUCCUCUUAGGAAACAAACUUCUCUGAUGGAUUCUCUGGUCAACACUGUCCUCUCUUCUGAGAACUUAUGCCUGGAGAAUCACUGGAGCUCUGUGCCAUUGGUACUCUCAGCUCCCAAGGCACAUUGCCCUGUGCAGAGAAUUUUCCUUGAGUUGGAAGUUUCAGGAACCAGCACUGUUUGUCACAAACAGAGCAUUAUUGUCUUACUCCAGAGCUGGAGUAAGAAGUAGGCCAACUGGGCAUUAACCAGGACUCUGGUCUAUAGAGGCACUAAAAACCAUCCUGAUAAGAUAAAACAUCGACUCCCUGGAAUUUCUCUUAACAGCUGGAGCUGAUCCCUCACUCGAAAGCCCCUGACAACCGACAUUGAACAAAGCAGGGGGAGCUCACAGUCCUGCCAGAUAGGCAGCCGUGAGCCAGGACCAGUCGUGUUAUGUGCAGGAGCGAGGAACCUCAGUCCCGUAGAGACGAAACAACUUGCCCAAGAUGAUCAGUGACUGAGGAUCAGGAAUCAAAGGCUGGUGUCUCUGAGCCACUGUGUCUCUCCCGAGAGACAAGUAGCUUCUUUCAUGCUUGGGACCCCCAAUUCUUGCCUCUCCUGUGCCUCUGCCUGUUCUCCCCUCCUCCAAGGAUGGAGGCUUCAUCCUGGGAAGCUGGUGGGCAGCUCGAGUGAUCCUUGCUUUGAGACAGGCUUUUCCAGAACAGAUCUCAGACCUGAGACGUAGGGGCAUGUGUCCCUCCAGAAGGCAGAGCCCCGUUUGGUGAGAGGACACAGAGCUGUGCUUGGGGCCCACGGACUCUACUCCAGGACGAGAGAAUGAGGUGAGGCAGACGCUGAGCGGCCAAGGAGAAGAAAGCAAACAUGUGAACUUUGGAGCCAGAAGCUCUGUCACAGAGCAGCUGAGAGACCUUGGGCACAUUUCUCCUCUGAGCUCAGUUUUCUCAGCUGCUAAGUGGAGGUCAGCCUACUUGCCUCGUAGAGGUGAUGUUGGGGAUGGAACAAGUGUGAGUCGGGUGCCUGGCACCGGAGCUGGUCCACCCCAGGCGUCCAGACGCUGUCACUGAAGGCACGUGAGGCCCCUCCUGGGACUUCCCCCAGCCCUACCCCUGCUGCCCCUCACUGUUCCUGUCUCUUUCUGCUUCUCCCACCUUCUUUCUCUCCCAUUUCCUCCUCAGUGGCUGGAGGCCUCCCGGAGGGGUCACUGGACAUACCCUUUGGUGGCCUAGGACGCUUCCGAUGGGAAAGGUGGAUAGCCAGGCCCGAAUCGGUCCUGUGACAACCACACCCCAUGCCCCUGACCUACCCGCCCACCUCACUCACAGCCACCUUCCCUCCUCACCCCUGCCUCCCACCCCAGGAGCUCUGACUCCGCUCUGGGAGAGACAACUGACUGCAAAGAGACCGUGGCCACAGUCACUCUUAAUUGGAGGGGAGACUGCAGACUGCCUUUCUUCCUCCCCGCCCCCGAUUCCUCCAAGCCAGAGGAAAGGAGAAGCACGGGGAGGGAGCCCAGGGAUCGCCACGCUUGGCUGCCUGGCUUUCUGCACGCAGGGGAUUGAGGCCGCCUAACUGACAGAUAGUAAACACGGGUAAAGACUCCAGGGCAGAGAAGAAGGGGUAGUUGGGCUGAGGCGGCCACGGCACUGGGGACGGGGAGGUUCGAGGGUCUUGGGAGAAGGCCAGAUGGCUCCCUGCCACGUCCCCAUCUGGGCCUCUGCCAACUUGAAGCCCAGUGAGCAGGGCCUUUUGCACAAAGGCCGAUGUGCACAGGAAGGGGGCCGUGGGAGUAUGGCAUGGGGGGACGUGGAAACGAGGGGUUCCCCUUCCGUGUGAGGCCUGGCAGCUUAGGACUCCCCUCUUGGCGCCCCCUUCCCCACGCUCCUACUCAGGGGAUCUCGCGCCAUCUCCACACUGCCCCCUCGGCUCACCUGCUCCUGGGAGGCAGGCCUGGGACAGGCCCCCACGCUGUGAGUGUGGAUUUUUCCAACAAGGGGUUGGCGUCUCUCGGCACUGCUGAAGGGAGUGCUCAGGGAAAGGCCCGAGGCUGCUCGGGAGAUCCAGUCUCAGCCACCAGCCCCUGACACCCCCCUUCCCCAGGUUGGCCCCAAAUCCGGAGGAUCUAGGCUUCUGGCCAAGGAUGGGGUUCUGAAUGUGGCAAGAGCUGCCUGCUCUCCGCCCCGGGCCCGUGUGCCACCCUCACUCGAAACAGGGCCGGCUGGCUGGGUUAUGGUCUCCAUUCAACACACUUCUGUUUCCAAGGCUUCACGUUGUGCCCAACCCCCUGAGGAAGAGAGGGGAUCAGAGACACCCCAGCUCCUGUGGGGCGAAUUCUCCUGUUUCACCGUCUGCCUUGCUCCUCAGAGAGGCCUUGCAGCCCUCGGCCUGACCCACCUGAGCUCUGGGCUGCCCGCCAAGCCCAGUGAGCUCCUCCCUGAGGACUCGCGCCCCCCUACUCGCCCUCCCUCCUCCUCCUUCCCGGGCUUGACAACGCAGCCAUGUCCUUCCCAGAGUGGCCAAAACAAAGAGAGCAGGCAGAGCUGGGUUCAAAUUGUAUCCCUCUGUUACGACUUUGGGCAAAUCUCUUAACUCUCUUUGAGCCUAGGUGCCAAGUCCAGACCUGGAAAGCAGGUCUGUCCUGCAGAGUUGUGAGAAUUUACAAAGGUGAGAUCUCUAGGGCAGCCUGCCGGCAGAGGGACCACGGGGCUGUCACAUCCCAUUGACGCCCCCUCCUAAAUCUCUCUCCCUUUGGGUCCCUCUUGCUGUUCCCAGUGUCCAGGUGCUAGUCUAGACUCCUCAUUUUUCGCCUGGGUUCAUUUCAACAGCCCCCUUGCUCAGCCCUCCUGUCGGAGCCCCUCAGUGCAGCUCACCUGCUGAAAAGGGAGA